rnacentral:misc_RNA from 1 species
UAAAGAAGAACAUGGAUGUACGGGAAGAGAGAUGUAUCGAGGGGCUCGUCGGAGAGAUAAAGGCCGAGCUCUUCUCUCCUUCGACAAAUCUCUACUCCUUGUUUCCGGCAUCAGCGUACGAUACAGAAUGGGUUGCAAUGGUCCCUAAUCCACACGAGCCCGAACGUCCUAUGUUCCCUGGAUGCGGCAAAUGGAUACUCAUCAGUCAAAACCCAGAAAGAGGUUUCUGGGGUGACAUGGAGAUGACUGUCCAAUGCCUCGCCGACACCCUUGCCUGUUUGGUAGCUCUCAAGACCUGGAAUGUCGGCCCUUCGAACAUAGAGAAUGGGCUUACG